UUGUUAAGAACCCAAUAAUUAAUAUGUCAUUAUUAUUACAAAAAUAAAAAUCAGAGGCUACAUACCUAACGCACUCUGCUAUAGCUGGUUUCCCCUCUCCCCAGUAUAAGCUGCUCAAACUAAACCCCCAUUCCCUACACGACUUAGUUAUGAAAAUAAAUCAAGGACAAGCUUGAUCUACUUACCCUUAUUAAUAAAAAAUUUUCCAUUAAAUAUGUAGGCUCAGAAACAGCCACCAUCAUAUACCGUCUUAGUAACCACACAAAAAAAAAUAAAAAAAAAAUAAAAUCUAUGGGACCCACUUACACCUCCACCAGUCUCGCCUCUGCAUAGAUUAGUAUUCAACUCAUAUAUAGGGAAGGAACUCGGCAAGUACUUAUUCCGCCUGUUUAACAAAAACAUCGCCUGUAGUUUUAUCUAUUAUAGGUCCAUCCUGCCCAGUGUAAUUGUAUCAACGGCCGCGGUAUCCUGACCGUGCAAAGGUAGCAUAAUAACUCGCCUUUUAAUUGGAGGCUGGUAUGAAAGGACAAACGAGAAUAAAACUGUCUCCCCUAUAUAUCUAAAACUUUAUCUCCAGGUGAAGAAGCCUGGAUCUAUAUAAAAGACAAGAAGACCCCGUCGAGCUUUAAUUUAGUGGAGAAAUAUAAUUAGUUUACCACAUAUUACCCCUCCCCGCAAAAUUUUUGUUGGGGCGACACCGGACCAAAUCUAUCUUCCGACAUACCUUCGACCAUUAGUCUCAUAAAAGAUCCCCUAUCGAUCUCUAGAAAAAGCUACCGCAGGGAUAACAGUCUAAUCUCCCCCCGGAGCCCAAAUCUACGGGGAGGCUUGGCACCUCGAUGUUGGCUUAGAAAUUUCUCUUAAAUGCAGCAAUUUAAGAAGUGGGUUUGUUCAACCCUUAAAAUUCUACAUGAG
rnacentral:rRNA from 1 species